UACUGUAACCCAGUGUUAAAAACGGGAUUAAAAGCAUAAAUAUGAAUACUCUUUUGAUUAAAAUGCUAAUUUCAUAAUGGUAAUAAAUAUUGAUAAAAAGAACUUAAAUAUAAUAAAUACUGAUAAAAAGCGUGUAAACAUAAGUUUAAUUAAUAUGUACGUAUGUAUAUGUAAUAUAUAGAUGGUGUGGGGGCAGGACUUAGUUCUGUGGAGUGUGUUUGUUAGAUCCACUGAGCGACCAAUCAUUGGCCGGUCUGACCCCUCCCCCAGUCUGUGUGCGCUGCUCAGACACCUGUGCGUGCCUGCGUGUGCCAGCCAGAAAGCGCCAGAGACACAGACGGUGAACGGUCCGGUUACCCGUGCGGUGAAGAAGCUAGCUGGAUAGUAAAAGUCCUGUUUUCAGUGAGAAUAAUAAGAGUGAUACUGUACUCCAGAGGCCGUGAGCCAGCGUGAGCACUGUGAAGCCCCGUGUAGCAUUUGUUGCUUCACAUGGUCAGGUUUUUUUCCUUUGCUUAUUUGGAUUGGAUUGGUUUGGAGGACCUGAGAAGAAUCGAGGAUCCCUUUUCCAGUACUGGAUGGCGAGCCCAGCCCAAAGAGCCGGAUGAACUGGUAGAUUGUAACCCGACUGGUUACAAACACACUGAGUGACUGUUGAACAUUGACAGACUGAAAUUGACUUUAAAAAAGGACACAAAAGACAAUAUAUCCUUGGGUCGACCAUUUGUGGGGUUUAUUUUUAUUUUAUUUUGUUUUCAAAAGCGCGCUCUACUUUUGUUAAAUGUGCACAACCUGCUAAAUUUUAAUAAUUGCUAAUAAAUGCAAUUGUGUUUUCUACACCUACUGUGUGCAAGUCCUCUGUUGUCAUACACCCUUGGCUCCUACGAAUCUAGAACCUGUCUGAUCUGGCCCAUAUUUCCCUUCUGUCCUCGUACUGUGAUUAAAGGUAACUACACUGCCGUAGUACAUGCAAAGAAGGCAAGAAGUAGCACCACCAGUGUUACAUUAGUUACAAAAGUGGCGAGCCAGCCAGGAGCCUAGAGUGUUGUGUGACAACAUUGGAAUCCUCUUUGACCUUUGAUCAGACGCUCACAUACGGUGAAAAUGGAUUUUGUUGAGAAGUAUGCCGUUAAAGUACCAAAUGCCAUUAUUGUUAGCGGUGUUACAGGUAGAGAGGAAGACAAAGAGGUAUUUGAGUUUCUGGAGCAACAUGGUACUAUUCGUAGAGUGCUUGCUGUCGAUGAUGACUCUUCUGCAUUCCACAAAAGUCAGAUUGUAGAGUUUGAGUCCGGUGCAUCCAUUGAAAUAUUAGCACCUAAGCUGCCUUACCUCUUACAGUCCACUGACAAUCCAGAUGUCAGUUACCGCAUUCGAGCCUUAACGGACGUCUAUACUAAAACCGUAGGGAGCAGUGUUACUGAGGCUUACAUUAGCAACCUGAAGGGUUUAGCCAAGUUAAGUGGGAAGGAUUUCGAAGAAGUGUUGCGGGAGGCCAUGUCCACAAUGGGGAAGACCAUCGAAGCUGCUGAGACAGCUGAGAUAAACCCCGAAAAUGAUACUGCUGAUCAGACUUGCCCUGUGGUAGGAUCCACACAACUUGGAGCCUCACCUUCAGUCUUAACUGAACUGCCUCACCCUCCUGAACCCAUUCAGGGCACAUUCCAACGCCCCAUGAGACCAAACUUGACACCUCAAAUGUUGAGCCCAACUGACCUCAACCCACCAGAGGUUCAGAAAAUAGUAGUUGAGCAUGUUGUCAAGAGUGUUGAGAAGACAUCACAUGCUCACUCCACAUUAAGACUCAGAGCUUUCUCUGGCAAGAUGCCCAGACCUUACAGCGAAGCUGACUAUGAAACAUGGCGUUCUCACGUUGACUUGUUGAUGGGAGAUGCUUCUUUGUCUGAGUUGGAAAAAACUCGUAGGAUUCUUGAAAGUCUCCUUGCUCCCGCUUCUGAUGUCAUCCGCCCUCUUGGGCCAGAAGCCACUCCUGCAGACUAUCUUAAACUUCUGGAUUCAGCUUUUGGCACCGUCGAAGACGGUGAGGAGCUGUUUGUACGCUUUAUGAACACCC
ensembl:lncRNA